UGAGUACGAGCUGCUACGGCAGCGAAGUGGGUGAUGUCAAGCUUCCAAGAAAAGCCCUAUACCCGUUAAGGCAUGACGGCCUGUACCCGAAACCGACACAGGUGGGGUGGUAGAGAAUACCGAGGGGCGCGAGAUAACUCUCUCUAAGGAACUCGGCAAAAUGGCCCCGUAACUUCGGGAGAAGGGGUGCCACCGCAAGGUGGUCGCAGUGAAGAGGCCCAGGCGACUGUUUACCAAAAACACAGGUCUCCGCUAAGUCGCAAGACGAUGUAUGGGGGCUGACGCCUGCCCAGUGCCGGAAGGUUAAGGAAGCUGGUCAGCGCAAGCGAAGCUAGCGACUGAAGCCCCGGUGAACGGCGGCCGUAACUAUAACGGUCCUAAGGUAGCGAAAUUCCUUGUCGGGUAAGUUCCGACCCGCACGAAAGGCGUAACGAUCUGGGCGCUGUCUCGGAGAGAGGCUCGGCGAAAUAGAAUUGUCUGUGAAGAUGCGGACUACGUGCACCCGGACAGAAAGACCCUAUGAAGCUUUACUGUAGCUUGGUAUUGUGCCCGGGCUCUGAAUGCGCAGGAUAGGUGGGAGGCUUUGAUCCAUGGCUUGCGGGUCAUGGUGAGCCAACGGUGAGAUACCACUCUUUCAGAGCUAGGGUUCUAACAGCCACCCGUUAUCCGGGGGCUGGACAGUAUCAGGUGGGCAGUUUGACUGGGGCGGUCGCCUCCUAAAAGGUAACGGAGGCGCGCAAAGGUUUGCUCAGGCUGGUUGGAAAUCAGCCGACGAGUGCAAAAGCAGAAGCAAGCUUGACUGUGAGACCAACAAGUCGAACAGGGACGAAAGUCGGCUUUAGUGAUCCGACGGUUCUGAGUGGAAGGGCCGUCGCUCAACGGAUAAAAGUUACUCUAAGGAUAACAGGCUGAUCUCCCCCAAGAGUUCACAUCGACGGGGAGGUUUGGCACCUCGAUGUCGGCUCAUCGCAACCUGGGGCUGAAGUCGGUCCCAAGGGUUGGGCUGUUCGCCCAUUAAAGCGGUACGCGAGCUGGGUUCAGAACGUCGUGAGACAGUUCGGUCCAUAUCCGGUGCAUGCGUAAGAACAUUGAGAGGAGUUCUCCCUAGUACGAGAGGACCGGGAGGAACGCACCUCUGGUGUACCAGUUAUCGUGCCAACGGUAAACGCUGGGUAGCCAUGUGCGGAGAGGAUAACCGCUGAAAGCAUCUAAGUGGGAAGCCCACCUCAAGAUGAGUGUUCUCAUGGCUUAAGCCAGUAAGGUCACGGGAAGAACACCCGUUGAUAGGCUCUACGUGGAAGCGCAGCAAUGUGUGAAGCGGAGGAGUACUAAUAGACCGAGGGCUUGACC
rnacentral:rRNA from 1 species